UCUAAGAUCAAAGACCAGCCUGUAACACCAGCAUUCCCAGCCUGACAAAGAUCCCAGGUCCAGACUGGACACCCACGCUUAGAGCCUCCAGACCAGAAGAGGCCACGUGCUUUAAGAUGGCUGAUGUAUCUGCAGAGAGAAGAAGGGCCUCCCCGGGGCUUUGGUGCAACAUAACCUCUUCUCUGUGGGAAGAGAAGUUUCGCAUUCUGUUUGGCACAGCAGCAACUGCCCCAGGAUACUGCAAAUUCCUGAAACCAAAGCUGGAACCAGUUCAGAAGGAACAGGGACCUU
rnacentral:lncRNA from 1 species